GUGCUCACUUCGCCAGCACAUAUCCUAAAACCGGAACAACACAGAGAAGAUUAGCAUGGCUCCUGCGCAAGGAUGGCACGCACAUUCGUGAAGCGUUCCAUAUGUUU
ensembl:snRNA RNU6-729P RNA, U6 small nuclear 729, pseudogene